rnacentral:rRNA from 1 species
GGGUGAUCGGCCACAUUGGAACUGAGACACGGUCCAAACUCCUACGGGAGGCAGCAGUGGGGAAUAUUGCACAAUGGGCGAAAGCCUGAUGCAGCAACGCCGCGUGAGUGAUGAAGGCCUUCGGGUCGUAAAACUCUGUCCUCAAGGAAGAUAAUGACGGUACUUGAGGAGGAAGCCCCGGCUAACUACGUGCCAGCAGCCGCGGUAAUACGUAGGGGGCUAGCGUUAUCCGGAUUUACUGGGCGUAAAGGGUGCGUAGGCGGUCUUUCAAGUCAGGAGUGAAAGGCUACGGCUCAACCGUAGUAAGCUCUUGAAACUGGGAGACUUGAGUGCAGGAGAGGAGAGUGGAAUUCCUAGUGUAGCGGUGAAAUGCGUAGAUAUUAGGAGGAACACCAGUUGCGAAGGCGGCGCUCUGGACUGUAACUGACGCUGAGGCACGAAAGCGUGGGGAGCAAACAGGAUUAGAUACCCUGGUAGUCCACGCUGUAAACGAUGAGUACUAGGUGUCGGGGGUUACCCCC